UACGUAGGGACCGAGCGUUGUCCGGAUUCAUUGGGCGUAAAGAGCUCGUAGGCGGCCACUCAAGUCGAAUGUGAAACCUCGAGGCUUAACCUCGAGCCUGCAUUCGAUACUGGGCGGCUAGAGUCUGGUAGGGGGAUCUGGAAUUCCUGGUGUAGCGGUGAAAUGCGCAGAUAUCAGGAGGAACACCGGUGGCGAAGGCGGAUCUCUGGGCCUUACCUGACGCUGAGGCGCGAAAGCUAGGGAGCAAACAGG
rnacentral:rRNA from 1 species